AGCGAACGCUGGCGGCAGGCCUAACACAUGCAAGUCGAACGAACCCUUCGGGGUUAGUGGCGGACGGGUGAGUAACACGUGGGAACGUGCCUUUAGGUUCGGCAUAACUCAGGGAAACUUGUGCUAAUACCGACUGUGCCCUUCGGGGGAUAGCUUUAUCGCCUUUAGAGCGGCCCGCGUCUGAUUAGCUAGUUGCUGAGGUACUGGCUCACCAAGGCUAAGAUCCGGAGCUGGUCUGAGAGGAUGACCAGCCACAUUGGGACUGAGACACGGCCCAAAAUACUACGGGAGGCAGCAGUGGGGAAUCUUGCGAAAUGGGCGAAAGCCUGACGCAGCCAUGCCGGGUGGAUGAUGAAGGUCUUAGGAUUGGAAAAUCCUUUCACCGGUGAAGAUAAUGACUGUAGCCGGAGAAGAAGCCCCGGCUAACUUCGUGCCAGCCGCCGCAGUAAUAC
rnacentral:rRNA from 1 species